rnacentral:rRNA from 1 species
UACAGAGGAUGCGAGCGUUAAUCGGAAUUACUGGGCGUAAAGCGCACGUAGGCGGCUUGGUAUGUCGGGUGUGAAAUCCCCGGGCUCAACCUGGGAACUGCAUCCGAAACUGCCUUGCUAGAGUAUGGGAGAGGGAAGUGGAAUUUCCGGUGUAGCGGUGAAAUGCGUAGAUAUCGGAAGGAACAUCAGUGGCGAAGGCGACUUCCUGGACCAAUACUGACGCUCAGGUGCGAAAGCGUGGGGAGCAAACAGG